UGUCUGUGCAGAGGGAUGUAAAUAUUUACGCUGUAGCCAAUAGACGGCAUUGGUUUGGAGUGGUGCUGUUCUUGGGGAUGAGGUGCGAUUAGCCAAAAAAAAAAAAGAAAAGAAUGUCAGUUCUCUUUGUUUUAGGGCAGGAUGACCAGCAACUGGUCAAAAUUCAUUAGGAUAUGAAUAUUUGUGAAGAUGACAUGCAUCCGUGUGCAUUCACCUUGCUUAUAUUGGCACAGCAGCGCGUUAGCAUGCAGCUAAACGAGCUGAGGAGCCCUUGAAGUGUUGUAUUUCAGCAGCGAGUUGUGUGAGUGCUCCUGCACACGUUGGUGUGCAUGCACGCCAAGUUUUGUGUGUGUGUGUGUGUGCACAGCACUUUUGCAGUUUGCAGCGUGCGUGAAAUCCGUGCAAGAAGCAAGCAAAGGGAACGAUCCGGUCUGCACGGAGCAGGAGCAUGCACUGCAGAGCAAAGAGCUGGUUUGUAAGAAAAAAGAGCCGUGUCUCAGUGUAUGAGGGGAAGAUCAGGGCUGUGAUGGAACAGCGUUGGAGAAAUCCUUCCUCUGGUUGGGAAGUUGCAGUUCAGACACAGUGCUGGCAUUCGGCAGAGCAGGAGUGAGCGCGCUGGGUUUGCUGCGAUGAGGUAAUCCUGAGCAGAGAUAAGGAAAGUGGUGCAUGUAUUAACCUGAAGGGAGCGGUGAUGUCAGCAAAGGGGAAGGAAAUCAAUGACUGCCAGGACCCCUUGGAUGCUCCAGGUGAUGCCCCAGUUCACCUUCGCUUGCUUCUGUGGGCUGCAUGGCUUCUGCAAGAUGAAGAGGAAGAAGGAGGAACCCAGUGCAGAGCAAGAGACAGCAGUGUGAGCAGCUGGGACGGGAGUGGGACAUCAGAGCUGCUGGGGGACAUUGGCUGUCCCCUCUCCUGUUGCCUCCAUAGGGAUCCCUGUGCUGCAGAGGUGGGACGGGGCAGGGAGUGUUGGGGGGCUCAGCACGGUGCUGAGAGCUCCAUCUGCCCUAAUGCACUGCAGCUCUGCUCAUUUUCUCUCUGCAGACAUCUGCCUGGCCAGGAGGGAGCUGAAGCAUGGGAGUGGCCAAACUGGGAGGCACCAGCUGGCGUUGCAGACAUUAUUGGGGUGCUGCAGCCAUCCUGCCACAUGCACUGAGCCCUCUGCACCCCAACAGCUGCAGUCGGAGGAAGAUUCCCCACCUCUCUGCCCUCACCCCAGCACUGCUCUGCGGACAAACCCUAAAGGGGUUUCCAAAAUCCAGGGUCAGACCAUGUCCUGCAUGGAUUAAUAGUGCUGGGGGGAGAGGGGUGAGUUGCCCGAGGGUGGUAAGUGCCCUCACUGCUGCAGAAUUGGCUGAACGUACAGGCAAGC
rnacentral:lncRNA from 1 species